UACGUAGGUGGCAAGCGUUGUCCGGAUUUAUUGGGUUUAAAGGGUGCGUAGGCGGUUCUCUAAGUCAGUGGUGAAAUACGGCAGCUCAACUGUCGAGGUGCCAUUGAUACUGGAGGACUUGAGUACUGAUGAGGUAGGCGGAAUGGACGGUGUAGCGGUGAAAUGCUUAGAUAUCGUCCAGAACACCGAUAGCGAAGGCAGCUUACUAAGGAGUAACUGACGCUGAGGCACGAAAGUGUGGGGGAUCAAACAGG
rnacentral:rRNA from 1 species